AGUGAGGCUGAAGCGAUGAAAGAUAAGUGUAUGUGUUUUACUUUGCAUUCUCAUAGUCAUUGAUGGCACAUUCACUCAAAUCUUUCUUGUUGGUUUGUAUUAUCCUGUCACUGUAUUCUAGUAUUGUGUGAAUUACAUAGCUCGUUGCGUUCAGUGGGCAUCACACCCUUUGUAUAAUAAGUCAUUUUGAGUAAUAUCUCAUAUCCUGUUUCCCAUUAGGUUGUAAUAUAGAUCUUUCUCUUUUUUUGUCCUACGUUCAAAGUAGAUUUUUCAAAUUGUGUAUAUUACCUUUUCUGUUUCUCGGUACCUUUUGGUUUGGCCCUUAAGAAAAUGUAAUGGGGUGUGCAUAUUUCCGUGUUUGUCGGUUAUGUACUGAUCUAGCAUCUCAAGUCUCUG
rnacentral:misc_RNA from 1 species